rnacentral:rRNA from 1 species
AGUCGAGCGGACCUUUUAAAGCUUGCUUUUGAAAGGUCAGCGGCGGACGGGUGAGUAACACGUGGGCAACCUGCCUGUAAGACUGGGAUAACUUCGGGAAACCGGAGCUAAUACCGGAUAAUAUAAGGAACCUCCUGGUUCUUUAUUGAAAGAUGGUUUCGGCUAUCACUUACAGAUGGGCCCGCGGCGCAUUAGCUAGUUGGUGAGGUAAUGGCUCACCAAGGCGACGAUGCGUAGCCGACCUGAGAGGGUGAUCGGCCACACUGGGACUGAGACACGGCCCAGACUCCUACGGGAGGCAGCAGUAGGGAAUCUUCCACAAUGGACGAAAGUCUGAUGGAGCAACGCCGCGUGAGCGAUGAAGGCCUUCGGGUCGUAAAGCUCUGUUGUUAGGGAAGAACAAGUGCGAGAGUAACUGCUCGCACCUUGACGGUACCUAACCAGAAAGCCACGGCUAACUACGUGCCAGCAGCCGCGGUAAUACGUAGGUGGCAAGCGUUGUCCGGAAUUAUUGGGCGUAAAGCGCGCGCAGGUGGUCCUUUAAGUCUGAUGUGAAAGCCCACGGCUCAACCGUGGAGGGUCAUUGGAAACUGGGGGACUUGAGUG